GUUUACUCUUCAUUAUUAUUAAAGAGUGCUGCCGUGACUGAGUGGUCUGAGGAAGUCCGAAUGGCCAAAGGACACAUUUUAAAUUUGUCUUGUUCCAAGGUAUUACAGAGUAAAAGCAUAAUGCGAAAUUAAUCUCGUCGGCAAGAGAAUGCAGGGUCCACAAAGCGUGUGCUGGCUGCCUCUGGAAUAAAAACACUGCACUUGUCUAGACUUUAUUUAUGACCCGUUUUUGGCAUAACUAGUCGUUACUGCUGAAAGCCAAAUUAGAGCAGCCUUGUGUAACAGAUUACCUCAAAAGAAGACAAAUAUCUAGAGUGGAAUUUUUUUUUUUUAAUUUCAAACAAAUGUAUUUUUAGAAUAUCUUCUAUGUCCAGGAGGUCCCUAAGUCCCACAGCAUUUUCAGUUUUUUUAGAACAACAAGAAAACCACAAAGAGAAAAGAGAAGGAACAAGAGAAUGGCUUAUUUUUUUCUCCCGUUUCCCCACAAUCACAAUCCACCAAUCACUUUGUGACUAUAAUUUUCAGGCCUUUAAUUCUGCCUUCACAUCCUGUUUAUUGUCCAUCGGGUUUGGGGGGCUGUGGUUUGUGUGUAGGGCCUCGAGAGGAAGGGAGCUGCGUUUCAGGUCGGCGUUCAGGGAAAGCUUUUCCAGAAGUACCUAAACUGUCCAGUUACGAAGUUCACAGUGAGAGCCUAGUUGAAGUUCCUUCUGCGUUUGCACCGUGUCCCCGAACUCAAAAUCAGUGCUUACGGUAACAACAGUGAGGCUUACACUGCUGUCCCCUGAAGAACAGGGAGAAUUCAACACCUGUGGUAUGAAAAAUGAAUGCUAUGGCCUGUCUCCGGUGUUUGUUUUCUGUUCAGAAAGAUGCUGAUCUGCCGCAGAUGCCGAUGUACAUUGUGAUACUUGGGAUACUGUACCCUCGACUAGAGGUAAAAGUGCUGAUGCUGCUCAAAUAUGCAUGAGGAGCCUGCUCGGGAAUGCAGCAGAACUGCUGGCACGGGCUCAAUCAGUAAAUAAACAUAAAACAGCUUUUUCAUUUUUAGAUACAAUUUUAUCAAAACCAGAUUAUAUUCUUUCAUGGUGGCAGAGGGAGGGAGUGAACACGGAACAGCGCCUGUAUCUUAAAUUUGAAGGCAGAGGAAAUGAAAUGCAGCGCUAAUUCCAUUAGCUGGUUUUUGAUUAGGGAGAUGGCUGGUUUUGAAAAUGGGGAAGAUUUUCUGGGUGCUUCCAGUGGUUCUCUUGGACUCCUUUGAUUACAGCAGCCUAAGACUAUACGGAAAAGGGAUCUGACUUGUCAGUGUCACACUGCAGUGACUCGUCCCACGGAGAAGUGGUGGUGCGCCUGGGCGGGGACGGGGCUACCAAAUAAUGUAAGACCCUGCAUCAGCUACCUCGGAGAGACAGGGAAGAGUCGGCUAGAGCUCUGAGGAAAGGAGAUGGUUCUGACUGAGGACAUGGCUGACGGACAGGACCUAACGGCAACACUUCACGCAUUAGCACAGCGAGCGUGGUAAUUUAAAUUUCUUAGACAUGACUAACAUUCACUCCUCAAAUUCCACAGAGCAAGAAGAGUCGGGGGUUUCUAUUAGAAACUACUUUGAUGCCUCUGUCUCCUGUGAGAACCAGACAGAGCUUUGUAUCAACUCUAUUUAAUACAUUUUAUCAUUUCACCUUCAUCAUGUAUCUCCUUGUUUUGCAGCAGGGAGGAAAGCGACAUCCUUCCUGAAUAGUCCGUCGAAAUUCUGGGUGCCUCCAUUGCUGAGGGCUCUGUGGCCUUCUCCGUCUUGUCUGGAGACUGCUUCAGCAGCUUCUAGAGGGUUGGCUCUGCCAGAGUCCACCGGCACAGCCUAGUGAAACAAGGGGUGCCCUCAUGAGGCUGGGGCACCACAGCCACCUUCUGUGGGCAGCUGACGUGAAGGGCCCCCCUGCACUAGUCACCCUCUUCUUGGAAAGCAUCUUCCUCCAGUCUGACAGGUUUCGCUAAUAUUGCAUCUUAGAAGAAUGGCUUUAGAAGACGGUUAUUUAUUUAUUUUGUCAUUUUCCUUCCAGAAAGCCCCUGAGAUCUUUAUGCAAAAUCUUCCAUAGCCUUCCCAGAAACAUUAAGUGGGGUAUCUAUAGCUCUUCCUGUAACAAAAGCUGAAGUUUCUUUUAUUGGCCAAUGUAUCCCACCGGGCGACAAGCAUUAGAUUUUGGUAUUAUACAUAACUCUUUGUUUUCAAAGCUUCUGCUUCCAAUAAAAUCAUUUACACAACAAUAAAAUACUAAAACACGAAAAAGCUGGAAGGUGCCUUAAAUAGGAACAUGUUUUUGACUUUGAGUGUACUGGGGGAGUAAUUUAGUUUCAUUAACUAAAGCGAUUGUCCUUGUCAUUCUGGCAGAUCAACAGUGACUUAGAAACAGUAUCUAUGUGGGAAAGAAUAAAGAGGAGAAAGCUUUUUAAAUUUUUUUUUAAGUAGACUCUGUGCUCAGUGUGGAACCCAAUGCAGGGCUUGAACUCACAACCCUGAGAUAAGACCUGAGCUCAGACCACGAUUCAGAUGCUCAACCAGUUGAGCCAUUCUGAUGUCCUGAAAGCAGGUUUUUGAAUAAAAUGAUACAAAAAUUCUGAAAAUCCUAUAAACACUUGGAUACAUAACUGUAAUUCUGAAAUACAGUUACUAAAACUGACACUGUGUGUAUGAUUUAUAUCAGACGUAGACGAUUUCAGACAGCACGAGCUUGUAUCCAGAGGGGCAGGACUCUUACCGUUGGAAUCUGCGGUUCCGGGCAUAGCUUCUGAUUGAACAAGGGAGGGAGCUUAUCAGGAUUAUUGGGGUUCCUAGGCUGUUUUUCUCCCUGAAAUCAGUUUAAAACCAUCCGAGGGAGCUGGCCGUGCUCCCCAGCAGCUGCCCAAGUAGCCGCUGCAACAGCUGGGCCAGCACAGCAACUGUCGUAGCACAGACGGCCACGGCCCAUGAAAUGUCUAAAUAAGUGGAGGGCUGAUUUUCGUUUUGUUUUGUUUCUUAAAGAUGAAGCCUAAUCAUUGUUUCUGAGAUACGUGAGAUUUCCAGAUAUCCCUGCUGGCAAUAUCACAAAGAACUUGGAAUGGACAUUGGACUAGAGACCGAAGCCGUGAGCACUCGUUACGUUAUAUGAUUUAUAACCUACGGAUGAUGCGUUUGAUACAGAAACAUUAAAAUACAGAGGAAAUUCGAGAACGAACAGGACAAGAGAAUCUUCAGCCCCGCGGACUCCCGACCUCUUCUCCCCUUCAACAAGCACUUCGUGCUCGCCUCCUCUGAGCCAGGCGCGUAGGCUGGCACGAGGACACGGCUAAGAAAGAAAGGAAGAGAACCCGCGUUCUCUCGGAGUUUACUUUUAGUGUUUUUAUUUCAUACAUUCAUACUAUAGUGUAUGAAACAAAUGAUGUAUCUAUUGUACCAAAUAAAUGAUGUCUUGUCCAAAAUGCUAGCAGCAUUUCCCGAGUGUUCCUGGGGGCCAGGCUCGGACCUGGGCACGACGCAUCCGCUGGCACACCGGAUCCUCACGGCGACUCCGCGAGGCAGAAACUAUUGUGCAGAUGAGAAAAUGAAGACCCCGCGUGUGGGAUUCACUUGCUUAAAGUUCCACAGUUGGGAAGUAGCAGCAAUGAAAGUGUUUAAAGCCACAGUCAGGUCACAGAGCAAGCCUGCCUCCCUAACCCUCCACCCUACGGCCUCGUGGAUCCCAAAUCGUCUGCAAUGUUACUAGUAGGCAUUCCUGAUUAUUUUGCUUCUGUCGAUUUAAGUAUUAAAUACAUUGGCACUUUGUUUUUAAAGAACAACUUUCUGUUUAUAAACUGCACGUACCGCAAGUAACAAAUCCUACAUACGCCAGAAAUACACGCAGGCCAUAAGA